GAGUUUGAUCAUGGCUCAGAACGUACGCUGGCGGCACGCCUAACACAUGCAAGUCGAACGAAGUAGCAAUACUUAGUGGCAGACGGGUGAGUAACAUGUAGGUAUCUGCCCUUUGGCCUGGAAUAACACGAGGAAACUUGUGCUAAUACCGGAUAAGUCUUUACGGAGAAAGCUUUAUGCACCAUUGGAUGAGCCUGCACUUGAUUAGUUUGUUGGUGGGGUAAUGGCCUACCAAGACUGUGAUCAAUAGCUGAUUUGAGAGGAUGAUCAGCCACAUUGGGACUGAGACACGGCCCAAACUCCUACGGGAGGCAGCAGUGGGGAAUCUUGCACAAUGGAGGAAACUCUGAUGCAGCGACGCCGCGUGAGUGAAGAAGGCCCUUGGGUUGUAAAGCUCUUUCGUCGGGGAAGAAAAUGACUGUACCCGAAUAAGAAGGUCCGGCUAACUUCGUGCCAGCAGCCGCGGUAAUACGAAGGGACCUAGCGUAGUUCGGAAUUACUGGGCUUAAAGAGUUCGUAGGUGGUUGAAAAAGUUAGUGGUGAAAUCCCAGAGCUUAACUCUGGAACUGCCAUUAAAACUUUUCAGCUAGAGUAUGAUAGAGGAAAGCAGAAUUUCUAGUGUAGAGGUGAAAUUCGUAGAUAUUAGAAAGAAUACCAAUUGCGAAGGCAGCUUUCUGGAUCAUUACUGACACUGAGGAACGAAAGCAUGGGUAGCGAAGAGGAUUAGAUACCCUCGUAGUCCAUGCCGUAAACGAUGUGUGUUAGACGUUGGAAAUUUAUUUUCAGUGUCGCAGGGAAACCGAUAAACACACCGCCUGGGGAGUACGACCGCAAGGUUAAAACUCAAAUGAAUUGACGGGGACCCGCACAAGUAGUGGAGCAUGUGGUUUAAUUCGAAGAUACGCGCAGAACCUUACCAACACUUGACAUGUUCGUCGCGACUCUAAGAGAUUAGAGUUUUCGGUUCGGCCGGACGAAACACAGGUGCUGCAUGGCUGUCGUCAGCUCGUGUCGUGAGAUGUUGGGUUAAGUCCCGCAACGAGCGCAACCCUCACUUUUAGUUGCCAUCAUUAAGUUGGGCACUCUGAAAGAACUGCCAGUGAUAAGCUGGAGGAAGGUGGGGAUGACGUCAAGUCCUCAUGGCCCUUACGUGUUGGGCUACACACGUGCUACAAUGGUAUCUACAACAGGAAGCAAGACUGCGAAGUUAAGCAAAUCCCUAAAAGAUACCUCAGUUCGGAUUGCACUCUGCAACUCGAGUGCAUGAAGCUGGAAUUACUAGUAAUCGUGGAUCAGCGUGCCACGGUGAAUGCGUUCCCGGGUCUUGUACACACCGCCCGUCACACCAUGGGAGUUGGUUCUACCUUAAGGCAAGGUUUUAAACCCUUGACCACGGUAUAGUCAGCGACUGGGGUGAAGUCGUAACAAGGUAACC
rnacentral:rRNA from 1 species